rnacentral:sRNA from 1 species
CAUGGUUCAAAUCCGUGGGCCUUUUUGUUUGACUGGCCGUGAAACGAGCCGCGUGUCUACCUAAUUUCUUUCUGUUUUUUGCAACAAGGAGCAAAACAUGACCACUCGUAUCACCGGCACAGUCAAAUGGUUCAACGGCACCAAAGGCUACGGCUUCAUCUCCCGCGAAGGCGGCGAGGAUGUAUUCGUUCACUUCUCCGCCAUUCAGGGCGAUGGCUUCAAAAACCUGAAUGAAGGCCAGAAGGUCGAAUUUUCCGUGGAAAAGGGCCCCAAAGGCGCCCAGGCCAGCAACGUUGUCGUUCUUGGCUAAUUCCCAGGCUUGACCAUUGGCUCCCCGGCAGGAAACUGUCGGGGAGUUUU